rnacentral:rRNA from 1 species
AUUGAACGCUGGCGGCAGGCCUAACACAUGCAAGUCGAGCGAGCGGCGGACGGGUGAGUAAUGUAUGGGGACUGCCCGAUAGAGGGGGAUAACUACUGGAAACGGUGGCUAAUACCGCAUACUAUCGGAUAACCCAUAUGGGAUUAGCUAGUAGGUGGGGUAAAGGCUCACCUAGGCGACGAUCCCUAGCUGGUCUGAGAGGAUGAUCAGCCACACUGGAACUGAGGCACGGCACAAAUUCCUACGGAGGCAGCAGUGGGGAAUAUUGCACAAUGGGAUCAAGCGUGAUGCAGCCAUGCGGCGUGUAUGAAGAAGGCAUUAGGGUUGUAAAGUACUUUCAGCGGGGAGGCAUUACCCGCAGAAGAAGCACCUGCUAACGCCGUGCCAGCAGCCGCAGUAAUAC